AAAGAAAGCGUAAUAGCUCACUGGUCGAGUCGGCCUGCGCGGAAGAUGUAACGGGGCUAAACCAUGCACCGAAGCUGCGGCAGCGACGCUUAUGCGUUGUUGGGUAGGGGAGCGUUCUGUAAGCCUGCGAAGGUGUGCUGUGAGGCAUGCUGGAGGUAUCAGAAGUGCGAAUGCUGACAUAAGUAACGAUAAAGCGGGUGAAAAGCCCGCUCGCCGGAAGACCAAGGGUUCCUGUCCAACGUUAAUCGGGGCAGGGUGAGUCGACCCCUAAGGCGAGGCCGAAAGGCGUAGUCGAUGGGAAACAGGUUAAUAUUCCUGUACUUGGUGUUACUGCGAAGGGGGGACGGAGAAGGCUAUGUUGGCCGGGCGACGGUUGUCCCGGUUUAAGCGUGUAG
rnacentral:rRNA from 1 species